rnacentral:rRNA from 1 species
GACCUCAAAUCAGGUAGGAAUACCCGCUGAACUUAAGCAUAUCAAUAAGCGGAGGAAAAGAAACCAACAGGGAUUGCCUCAGUAGCGGCGAGUGAAGCGGCAAGAGCUCAGAUUUGAAAUCGCAGCGCAUGCUGCGAGUUGUAGAUUGCAGGUGGGAGAGUCUGCGUAGACCGGUGUCGAAGUCCCUUGGAACAGGGCGCCAGUGAGGGUGAGAGCCCCGUGCGAUGCCGUGCUUCUGCGCUUUGUACUCCCCUCUGACGAGUCGAGUUGUUUGGGAAUGCAGCUCUAAGUGGGUGGUAAAUUCCAUCUAAGGCUAAAUACUGGCGAGAGACCGAUAGCGAACAAGUACUGUGAAGGAAAGAUGAAAAGCACUUUGAAAAGAGAGUGAAACAGCACGUGAAAUUGUUGAAAGGGAAGGGUAUUGGGCCCGACAUGGGAAUCGCGCACCGCUGCUCCUUGUGGGCGGCGCUCUGGGCUUUUCCUGGGCCAGCAUCGGUUCUUGCUGCAGGAGAAGGGGCUGUGGAAUGUGGCUGCCGCGCUUUUGUCGGGGCAGUGUUUAUAGCCACUGGGCCAGAUGCUGCGUGUGGGGACCGAGGACUGCGACCGCAAGGUCUCGGAUGCUGGCACAACGGCGCAAUACCGCCCGUCUUGAAACAUGGACCAAGGAGUCUAACGUCUAUGCGAGUGUUUGGGUGUAAAACCCGUACGCGUAAUGAAAGUGAACGUAGGUCGGACCACGCAAGUGGGCACGAUCGACCGAUCCUGAUGUUUAUCGGAUGGAUUUGAGUAAGAGCAUAGCUGUUGGGACCCGAAAGAUGGUGAACUAUGCCUGAAUAGGGUGAAGCCAGAGGAAACUCUGGUGGAGGCUCGUAGCGGUUCUGACGUGCAAAUCGAUCGUCG